rnacentral:rRNA from 1 species
CCUACGGGUGGCAGCAGUGAGGAAUAUUGGUCAAUGGACGCAAGGCUGAACCAGCCAUGCCGCGUGCAGGAAGACGGCUCUAUGAGUUGUAAACUGCUUUUGUACGAGGGUAAACGCAGAUACGCGUCUCUGUCUGAAAGUAUCGUACGAAUAAGGAUCGGCUAACUCCGUGCCAGCAGCCGCGGUAAUACGGAGGAUUCAAGCGUUAUCCGGAUUUAUUGGGUUUAAAGGGUGCGUAGGCGGUCGGAGAAGUUAGAGGUGAAAUACCGAGGCUCAACUUCGGAAUUGCCUCUGAUACUGUUCGGCUAGAGAGUGGUUGCGGUAGGCGGAAUGUAUGGUGUAGCGGUGAAAUGCUUAGAGAUCAUACAGAACACCGAUUGCGAAGGCAGCUUACCAAGCUACUUCUGACGUUGAGGCACGAAAGCGUGGGGAGCAAACAGGAUUAGAUACCCCGGUAGUC